AUCGCUUCUCGGCCUUUUGGCUAAGAUCAAGUGUAGCAAAUGAAAACUUUUAAAUAUCUAAUUCUGAUAACAAGACAAACUCAAAAGCCUGAUACUUUUU
rnacentral:sRNA from 1 species